GUGCCUUUGGUAAUAAAACCUUGUGAUCAAUACCAAGGUUGACCCUUGCUGAGUAGGUCUGUGGAGUCCAGUGUUUGGCUUGCCUGUGGUAUUCUUCUGAGCAGAUUUUGUGACCACUUGUGAGCAAUACCCCGAAGUCCUUGGUGACUUUGCACUGGCUCGUGUGCUGUCUUUCCUUGCUUGGAACUCUCAGCUGCCUUCAGCAGAAUUGCUUGAGCUCAUCUUUUUCCUUCAUACAAAGAACAACUGUUAAAAUAUUUGGAGGGCUUCCCCCCUCCUCUAUGCAUGAAAUAAUCUGCAUCUGUGAUUCCUUUUACCCAGUAAAGCUGCAAACACCUGUUCAGAGAAGAACUUGGAGAAGGCUGAGGCUCGGCCUCUUGACUGACCGAGUUCAUCAAAAUUUUAUCUUCCUGCACUGCUAAGGUCUUGUUUGUUCAAGACUGGACAUCAAAUUAAACACACCUACAAAAUACAAGUUAAGAUGCUGAGGAGUGUUUUGCUUGUCUGCUAUUAAAAAUGACUUGUAUUUUUGAGUAGCUGAAACUGGAGGUGAAAAUAAUUGAAAUGGUAGAAGUGCCUUCAAAAAGUUAUAGAGGAGAAAUGGGAAUGCUUUUAAGAACAUAAGAAUAAGAUGUACAAAUAUUGCCACAAAUGCUGUAAAAUUUAGCACACUGAGGAAACUGUGGAAAUAUAAACAAAGGGUUGUUUUUGCAUAGAAUUUGAGAUGGACAUUUUUGAGGACUCCCAGUUUGUACCACCCCAUUUAUCUCCCAUACAUAUAUCAGAGUUGAGUUUCAGUUUUCAAAAUUGGGAUUUCUGGAAGGUGCCUGUACUGAACAUCAAGGGCCUUGGCAUGGAAGUGCAAUAGCAUGCUCUUCUACAGGGGCUGUGAGAGAAAACAUUUUUGCUUUUGAAUCUCUACAACAUCAGGGACUGUACAUGGACAUUACUGUAUUCUGAUAUUCAGAAGAUUAAACGUUAAAAUGCAUGGAUUGACUUAAUAAUGUCAGUGAAGGUUAAUAAGAGUUGCAUGUACUGUAUGAGUGGUGCAAGUACACCAGAGUAUGUCUGUGCAGAUUUAUUUUUUGAUAUCCUGAAAGGCACUCCUGUAUUUAUAUAGUUCAGCUAAUUUUUAGUUCCUGUAAACAUCCUACACUCAGCUAUUAUAAGUGGUGGGGCUGGGGGUUGGGUGUUUACUUCAACUGACUUGGAAAGGCAGCUUUCCUCAAUGACCAAGUGACAUUGGCAAGGAGGGAAUCCUAUUUUUCAGUACUAUUUAGUAUUGUAAGCACUAAUUUCUAUGGAAGCAGUAUGUAUUUCUAGAAAUCUCUUUUUGCUGAAAUUAUGAUUCUGGCUGUAUAAAGGCCUACAUGUUUGUUGGGAAACAGGCUUUAACUGAUGGGAUCCAUAUCUUUCUAAUUGCAAAUAAACUGUGACAAUAUAUCUUUGCUUGAAAAGCACCGUCUCAUACUCAGAUGGCAGAAGUAAUCUAAAACCUUAUCUUGAAUGUUCAGUUCUCAGUUGCAGCAGUGAUUUAUUGCUUAUUAUCUACUUGAUCAUUGUCAAAGGAGGAAUAGAUUUACAGGGUACUGUAAAAUCAAUUCCCAAACCAAGAGAUCAUUAAAGUAGUAAAAUAACUAAGCUUUACACAAUUUCUGUUGCCCUUUUAUCUUAAAAAACUGAUAAAUAUCUUUGAUAGGGGAAAUCUGCAUAGGAUAAAAAAGAAGUCAAGCAUCUCUUGUUUUCCUAGUAGCUCUUCUAUCAUGUCUUAGAAUCACUGAUGAUUCUGCUAUGGGUGUGUUGUUAAAUGAAGUAUGGCUUCAGCAUUUGGGCUUUCUUAGGUACCAAAAAAUUUAAAGGAAGAACUUAAAUAUUUUUAUUCAAAUAGAAGAAUGGGGUACAUGGAAUUCCUCAUCUUCAUAAAGGAUAAACAGGCUUCUUGCGAAUCGCUUUUACAAUCUGGUAUCCUUGUUAAUAUUUGAAAGGCUCAGACUCUAAAUUCUAAUAUUUUUUAUUUAUGAAGCCAAAUACAUUAUAAAAAUCAGUAAGAGGAUUUGUCCUCAUUCAAAUUCACACACAUGAGCCCCAUUUUGCUAUAACUGAACUUUUUGUUGUGCUUCUAUUUUUGCUUACAAACUGAAGAAGUCUUUUUAAUAUAUCAUAGAAAUCCUUGUGGACAGGUGUUAUGUAAUAUAUGGCACUGGAGGAUAGUGCAUGGAAGAGUUAACAUCAAAUCCUGUAUCUGAAGAUCACCCGUGUCUGCGUGAACACUGCAGUGCAACCAUGUGUUUGCUGUGUGUGCACUUCUGCAUGUACAAAACUGUUCUAGAUUUUUAUUCAGUGCAUCUGUUUAACUGGUACAAAACAAAUAUCUCCAGCUGGGAUGAAUGAGGGAAGAAUGAGGGAGGCAAGCUCUCCUCCUCAGGAGAGAUGAUGUAAUUAAAAACAUGGAAACUUAUCUCCAGAAAGAAUCUGCAUGUCUGUCUAUUCUAUUCCAUUUCCCAGAAUCAGGUGCCUUGUGGUGUCCCUGACUCUGCCUGAGAGAACUUUCCUCAAGUUCUGGUGUCUUUGCUUCACCCAUCCUGCUGUGGGUGGCCCUGCUCUGGGAAUGCUGGUUUUGACAGCUGUGCUGAAGCAGGAGCAAAGUGCCAAGACGGAAGGAUAUCCCUGUGAGGCUGUGACAUCUUGCAGCUUUGCUGUCACUUGUUAUGUGGUGGUGAAUGCUGAUGCUCACUCGAGCCAUCCCACUGUGAUUUCUGCCCUUGCUCAGAGGAAGGAGCACACUCUGUUCCCAGCACAGCUCUCUGGUGUCAUGGGGAGCAGUGAAAUGCUGUCGCUGUCCUUCCUCAGACUGGAUCCAUGUCCUCGCUUGGUGUACUGUGUGCAGCACAAGCUCAUGGACCCACGCAAUAGUACAGUGACAGAAAAAAAAGUUUGGUGGCAAGAAGGAAUCCUCAAAUCAACAGUUACUGCCAGCCAAAAUGUCUGAGAUUCAUCUUUCCAGCCAGUGCCUCUAUGUGGAGCUAAUUUCCUUGGUAGCACGGACCAAGCAGAUGAAAUGUGGAGGCAUAUUUGGUAUUUCAGCAGGUUUGGUUUUUUUUUAAAUGCAUUUGAAAUGUAGAAUUCAUAUUGCAGAAACUCAAGUAUCCAACUAGACACUUCCUGUUGUUUUAUUAAAGAACAGUUCUGACUGCUUUUGAUGUAGAGCUUGAAAACUCACUAGGAGUAAAAUGCAAAUGAGUAGUAAACCAAUGAGCCUGUUGAAGCAAUAAUUAAUGUAAAUAUUUGCAUAGUUAGGUUUUUCAGGAAUUAAGAGUUGUGGUUCAGGGUUUCUGGAUUUUAUUUAGCUACUCCUUGGUUACAAAGGCAGUAGAGUAGGUUUUAAUGAUACUGUAUCAAAUGAUUUCAAAUAGUUUGGCUUCUCCUAAGGGAGGAAACACACUCACUGAAGAGUGUCACGACAAGUAUUUGGCAGGGGGAAGAAUGGGGUUUUUGUUUUUGGUUUUUUUUCAGUGAGGAUUUGAUAGGGGAAUGAGUACUGUGCCUGUGAGCAUCCUUCCAUGGGCUUGACUGCACUUGUGAGUGUUGUGAGUUCUGACUUGUUUUCCGUUUUGUGAAAAUCUUCAUUUGAGAAUCAGACACUGAUUUUGGUACUGUUCCUCCUUGUUGAGGUAAUGUUUGGCAAUUCUGGUUUGUGCUAAACUAAAACUAAACUUCUAGAACAUGUGUCCAAGGAUUCCAAGCAUAAAAUAACCCUGCAGAAUUUGAAACUGUUUUAAAUAGUGUAGUUCACUUUUUUCUUCCAUUCUGUUGAUGCUUUUUAGGUAAACUCUGAUAAUUCCAUGGUGCCAGUGAUGGCCUAAACCAAAAUGGGAUAAAUAUCUUGGACAAAGAUAGAGUGUGAAUGAUUUAUAAGAUUGUCUGGAAGUUUUUUAUAGAUAUGAUAUCAAUGGUAAGUCACUUAAAAAUUAAAUUUCUCUUGAAAAACACAGAGGCAAAGCCAAUGUGGAUUUUUUCACAGCAAUUUGGAAAAUACAUUUAUUCAUAUGUUUUAUUCUUCCUGUAUUUGUCUUCUGCUAAAAAUACAAGUAUUUCAAUAUAUGUUUAUUGAUAUUUGCUUUACUUGUCUGUUGUGUUUACUAAGACUCUUCCAAAAUUCAGCUCACUUCCUUUUAACCAGCUAUGCCAGUUCUGACCAGCUUAAUUCAUGUUUUAUAGAGGCUUUGUGUCUGGGGAGAGUACAGACAAAGUUGAAACUGCUUAAGACUUGAACUUAAAACAUGAGGGUCUUCUCUGGCAUUGGGUUUUCUAUUUCUGUUAAGGAGCAGAAGAUCCCACUUGUCCACUUCUGGAGCCAAGGAAAGCCUGAUCCAUGGAACAGUACAGGGGCCUUGGAAGCAGAAUGAAGGAAAUGCAGUUUAUGUCAAUCAGAAUUGUUUGCUGUCUGAUAACAUCACUGUCUCAGCAGGGAAAUCAUUUCCUGUAAACAAUAUGGUUUAUCUGAAAAAUCUGCUAUUUUAAUAAAGUGAAAAAUUAUUUUUCCAAGCUUCACAGAAGCCUUAUCUUUGUCUGACAGGAAAAAGGGAAGCGGCAGGGAUAAAAGAUGCUUUGUGAACUGAGCUCUGUUUACUUAAGGCUAUGGAAAACAUGCUGAAAGCAUAUACAUUGAGUGCAUAGCUUAAUGUAUUUUUUCAAUAAACACAUUUCCCCACAUAUUAUUAAAUUAGUUGAAUUGACUAACUACCAUCUAGUGGAAAAUGAGAUCUAUUAACCAUUUCUUAUUCUGGAGAUGUUUCAUACAUUCUAAGGCAUUUAUAAGAUAGUAAAUCUGUAACCUGGAUCACAGUGCAGUGCUGGUAGUCCACAGGAGCUUUUUAACUGUGUGUGAUGUUCCACAUGAAGUCUUGUUCAUCCUAUGAACUGCCUGCCAUAGCUACUGUGGGCUGCUUCCUGCCUGUAAUGGAGACGUAACACACCCAGGAUUUCCACUGUCACAGCUGCUCUGCUUCUCCAGGCAGAGGCACUGCUUGGAUGAUCCAACACCGAGGGGUUGACAUUGGUCUGUCUCUGUCAGCUGGAGACACAAACUUGGUACAUUCAGAGAUGUGUUAAUGAAAUCUGGCUUCUGCUAUGAAACAAAGAAAUACCCCCAGCCCCUUCCUGCUUAAAUUGGUCUUAGAAAAAAGCUGGUGUUAUAGGAUAGAGGCAGGAAGCAAGAAGCAAACUCUGUCUUCUCAAAAGAUGGAAUAUUUGAGGGGCAAAGGAGAGGGAAGAUAAUUUUCAUAGAGUUCUCAGAUCAGAGGCACUAGUGUGUAUGUUGGUUCUUUCUGUUCUGCAGGAAUUUCAACAGUGAUGUUACAUCUCUCAUUAAUAAAUGUAUUUAUAUCUGUGUUCAGCUCAGGCAUCCUCACAUUAGAAAACAUAGUGAAAACUAAGUUAAGAAGUUGUGAGGAAUCUCUUCUAUCUAUGUUUUUUAUGCUAUGAUGCUUGUUGGCCAACUAAAUAGGUGUUUUGUAGGUUUUUGAAACACAAAAUUCCCAGAUUUCUCCUUUCUGAACUUUUUUGACUUGUUGCUAUAUGAAGUUUUCUCUUACUUGGAAUCAGUGAAUGAAUUCAGGAAAUGGAAAAUUUAGCCACUUCACAUGCUUAGUAGAGAAAAUAAAUAUUUAAAUAAUAUUGGAUGAUCUUUCAUGGUAAGAGUAAAGGCUUUGAUAUAGUUUUUCUUCUUUUUAACACUAGAAAAACCAAUAUGCAUGUUGAACAAUCAGAAAUAUUUUCUAUAUAAAUGCUCAUCUUAAAACUGCUUUUUUCUAUUUAUUUAGACUGUUUGAUGUGUAGAUUUAAGGUAUUGUGUCAUAAAAACUGUGUGUGUAUAUAUAUACAUAUAUGUGUGUAUAUAUGUAUAUAUAUGCAUGUGUGUGUAUAUAUAUAUAUACACUAUAUAUAUAUAGUAGUGUAAGAACAAUCAAGAUCUAGAGAAUUUUUUCACAGGGCAAUGCUAAUGAGAAUGUUUGCAUAUUAAUGCUUCAGCUGAUAAGGCAGUAGUUAAUAUUGUGGGAUGCAGAAUGAAGGCUGCAUUUCCUUCCAUCAAAAACAUCCUUUUUGAUGUAGAUGCCAUUUUAAUUAAACAUCUCUGUGUGCUGCUGUGUGACAGUGACCAUGUGGAGGAUUGCAAUGUGCCAGGCUCUGACCAUUCACUGGCAACUGGUUCUGGAGCUCUUGCAUUCAUGGCCUGCAUGCAUGGGAACCACAAGGGAUGUCAAGGUUCUGCUGGUCCUUGGCUGGAUGUCCUCCAGUGUGUCCAGAUGGAAUAUUAGGAAAUCCUAGAAUACCAAACUUCCCUGAAUUUUUGUUUGAGGUGCAGCAUUUCUGCUAGAAAAAUAGGUCCCUGUGUAAGAAAACAACCCCCAAUCCAAAAGUAUUUAAAAGAACAAGGAAAACUGCCAUUUAAACCUGCACAGUGUUCCAGCCUGUGCUGCUGUCUCCAGCUAGUCUGACACCAUCUACCAGAGGAAAAACAAGCUGUACAGUUGUAAUAGGAUUAAACAGUAUAAACCUGCAAGCAGAAAUGUGAUUAAUACAGGGUAUUUCUGAUUCCUGCAAUGACUAUAUUGCUACACUGAGAAAACCAGAAUGUUUAUUAGAAGUAUUUUCAGUAUGUAUAUAUUUUUCUGAAGUUAUUUAUAAUAGUUGCCUUUCUCUCAGGCCUGCAGGAGAUAAUUUUUAAAUUAACUGUGCAGUGUAAUCAGUAUCAGUAGAUUAUACAAUCCUGAGAUGUCAAGAAUUAUGAUAAACCUCAUACUAAGCUCUGGAGAGAUUUGUAACUGUGUAGUUUGCACCGCCCCAUUUUUAUUAGCAUUUUCAUUAUAAAGUUGUUACUGGCAGCAUAAAGUUAAUGUUCUGUAACAAGAAAACAGCAAUUAUGCAGUCCUAAACAAGAACUCAACAUUAAACAUGGCAGAUAAAAAUAACAAGCAGAUACAGUUACUGCAGACAGAUAAUGUGGAAAAAAAUAAUGUAGCAUUUACAGGAAGGCAAUGGUAACUUUUCUUCCUUAAGCAUAAAGCUGGUUGCCAAACAACUCCCUGUAACUUCUGAGCAUUCAUCUUUGCAUUUUCAAGUAAAACUUCCAAAAGUGUAGAGCAUAAGCUCAAAUUUUUUUCUGUUUGAAAUCAAUGCAAAAAUAAAUAUCUGAUAAAAAUAUAUGUGCUAAUCAACUUUAAAAAAAGUGUUAAACCUGUGUAGCUUUUGAGAAUGCUCUCUUCUGUGUCCUCCCUCAGAAUCUAUAUUAAAUGGAUACUGUUGAUUA